UACGUAGGGAGCGAGCGUUGUCCGGAAUUACUGGGCGUAAAGGGCGCGUAGGCGGGAACUUAAGUUAGAUGUGAAAACUCUGGGCUUAACCUGGAGACUGCAUUUAAAACUGGGUUUCUUGAGGGCAGGAGAGGAAAGUGGAAUUCCUAGUGUAGCGGUGAAAUGCGUAGAUAUUAGGAGGAACACCAGUGGCGAAGGCGACUUUCUGGACUGUACCUGACGCUGAGGCGCGAAAGCAUGGGGAGCGAACAGG
rnacentral:rRNA from 1 species